rnacentral:lncRNA from 1 species
AAAGCAAUUAAUCUUCGAAUCACUUUUUGGUUUAAAUGCUGUCGUCUAUUAAUUUAGCAAUUCAAUUGUUAUUGUUAGUUGAUUAAAAAGUUAUGAAAAAAUUUAUCUCAACUCGAAAACAUGUGAAUUAAUGGGUUUCCGAAUUGGAAUAAAUUGGACAACAAAGGAUUUUUUAUGUGACUACGUCGCUUUUUACCCAGUGAGCACUAAAUCGCGAAGCAGUACAUCGGAUCUGCAGGACGGAACUACAACCUUGACUAGAACACACUUCCACCGCGGCCAUCCGGCCGACCAUCGCAAAGGAUUAGUUUCGCAAAUGAUAUAUAUAGAUCAUGAAACUACUGUACAUAAAAUUUGUUAAUUCUUCUAUUUGAUCUAGUUGAUAGCCUUUCUUGUCGGAUUGCUAUCUAUCAACCAAGUCCGAUAGAUGGGUUUAACGGGUUACAUUCAAAUUUUUCUAGGUGGAUUUCAAGUCCGGAC